CCUACGGGAGGCAGCAGUGAGGAAUAUUGGUCAAUGGACGCAAGUCUGAACCAGCCAUGCCGCGUGCAGGAAGACGGCUCUAUGAGUUGUAAACUGCUUUUGUACGAGGGUAAACGCAGAUACGCGUAUCUGUCUGAAAGUAUCGUACGAAUAAGGAUCGGCUAACUCCGUGCCAGCAGCCGCGGUAAUACGGAGGAUUCAAGCGUUAUCCGGAUUUAUUGGGUUUAAAGGGUGCGUAGGCGGUCGGAUAAGUUAGAGGUGAAAUCCCGAGGCUCAACUUUGGAAUUGCCUCUGAUACUGGUAGGCUAGAGAGUAGUUGCGGUAGGCGGAAUGUAUGGUGUAGCGGUGAAAUGCUUAGAGAUCAUACAGAACACCGAUUGCGAAGGCAGCUUACCAAGCUACUUCUGACGUGGAGGCACGAAAGCGUGGGGAGCAAACAGGAUUAGAUACCCUAGUAGUC
rnacentral:rRNA from 1 species